GUUUCCAUGACUAUAAAGGCUUUCUAGCCACCAAAAUCCAGGAGGAAUCACAGAUAUAACACUGAGAAGCAGAAGGGAGACAGUGUGUUCCUGGAACACUCAAAAUUAGCUGGAAGCACAAAUACCAAGGUCCUUCAUGGCUUUUGUAUAUCAUCUGUCUGCUGACUGUGAACAGAACUACAUCCCUGACUGAAAAAAAAUCACAGUCCUGAAUGAAAUUAUCAUCAUUAAUGCAACAAUAAAGAUGCCACCAUCACUGUACCCAGACUAAGAUUUCAUAGCUAAGACAUUGAUGGAGCCGUGAGACAGAAGAUAAGCUCUUAAAAGAAAAACAGUCACCUGUGCCUGAAAGGGAGGUGUGGACUCCUGUGAUACGCAGAAAUCCAGUAUAUUCCACAAAGGAUCCCCUAAAGAUGUUUUCACCCACAAACAGCAGGAAGUAAUUUUAAGAACAUGACACACACAAUCCCAAGAUGUAUGGCAGGUGAUAUGAAAAUUGCAGUUCUAGAGGGAGGUGAGGUCACAGACUCCUAGACCUCUACCUCAGGCUUGAAGUGACUCCAUUACAUUAAUGCCUGUAAAUCUGCCCAAUGAAACCAACAUUGUUCAGUGGAAAAAAGCCAGGGGAGUACUUCAUAUUUUAACCUGAGCAUUCGACCCAGCAAAGAAGAGAAGCAUGAGUAAGUGCUCGUCUUCAGUGAUGGGAAUAUGGAGGUGAAACAGAUCUGUGGAACAAACAGAGAAAUCAGAAGAAUAUUUCCAUAGCUAAGAGGUGAGCCAAAAAUAGGCACACCAAACCUUGUGACAGUCCCUGUUGGUUCUUACUGUAAUAUAAAUCUCUGACUUCGGGUCAAUGUGGGUACCACCAGUGUAAUGCAAUACAUCUGUGAAAAUGUGGAAAUAUGUCAACUUGAUAAUUUAUCUUAUGUUAAAUGACAUGUAGACUAUCUUUGCAGCAUGAUUGUUAUAGCUGAACUUAGUAUAGUUUUAUGCCCAUAGAGAACUUUCAUAUUUGAAUGUAAAACUGUACAAUCUUGGAAGCAGUAGCAUUUGAAUCUGAUUCUGGAUUAAAGGAUGUUUUAAUGUAAUGCUACAUUUAGAAGUUAUAGGGUCAGUAACUGAGUCUGUAUUGAAUGACCAGUCUGUUUGGAAUGACUGGUUUGAAACCUUCUUCUUGAACUUUGGAAGGUAACACUGAAGGCAAAUUGUAGAAUGAAUAU